AGCUCCAAUAGCGUAUAUUAAAGUUGUUGCGGUUAAAAAGCUCGUAGUUGGAUUUCUGCUGGGGACGACCGGUCCGCCCUCUGGGUGAGCAUCUGGCUCGGCCUUGGCAUCUUCUUGGUGAACGUAGGUGCACUUGAUUGUGUGGUGCGGUACCCAGGAUUUUUAUUUUGAGGAAAUUAGAGUGUUUCAAGCAGGCAUACGCAUUGAAUACAUUAGCAUGGCAUAAUACGAUAGGACCUCGGUUCUAUUUUGUUGGUUUCUAGAGCUGAGGUAAUGAUUAAUAUGGAUAGUUGGGGGCAUUCGUAUUUAAUUGUCAGAGGUGAAAUUCUUGGAUUUGUUAAAGACGGAUUAUUGCGAAAGCAUUUGCCAAGGAUGUUUUCA
rnacentral:rRNA from 1 species